rnacentral:lncRNA from 12 species
ACAUUUAUACCAUAAUACCAUAUUUAAAAUAAUUCUAAAGCUAUUUAAAGUAAUUCAAUAUGGUAUAAAUAAAAAUGAGGCUGUACAAUAAUGAUGGCGUCGGAUUAAAACCAAAGGAGAAAAAUUCCUCGUGAGUCCGUAUUGAUAUCAAUAAAUAAUUGGGUGGAUAAAGGGGGAAUAGAGACAGCUCUUCCGGGCAACGUCCUCCGUCGACCCGCGCGGGUGACGUCAAGGCAGAGUGAGGUGUGGGCGCGGGACAUGGACGUCUGAGGCUGGAACCCGCUCCAACCCCCGCCCAGACAGAGGGGCUACACCGCCGCUCAGCCCCAAAAGUCGGGGAUCAUCGGACCUGUCUGCACCGUCCGCGGCGGGGCGGAGCCCACAGGGACGCACACAUCCGGGUCCCGGCGCGCGCACGCGCACCCGCUGCAAAUGGCCGCCGCCUCUGGUCCAAUCGCCUGCCCGCCAGAGGCCCAUUCUCCAUAUCCCUGAGACAGUCAUGAUCACAGCUUUGCUUGAGAGAUGAGAUUGAAAAUGACAGAAUAUUCCUGAGGAAG